rnacentral:lncRNA from 1 species
ACAAGCCGGAGAUUAGUGUAUACUUGGAGUAUUGUGGGUGCGCAGAGAGAGAGAGAGAGAGAGGACAUUUGAGUCUCGAGGAGAAGAGGGUAGGACAGUGAUGUAUCAUAUGUUUGACUCACAGGACAGAUGUUUAUAGCUAUGGAAUGUAAGUUCUUGAGAUGAUUGGUGCAAGGAACAAAGAAAGCGCUCAUCUCUGCCUCUAACACAAGUUCAUCAAGGAACAAACGGUUUGAGAAGCCUCGCAGGCAGUGUGCGUUGCCUAGCUACCUUGAAGUGGAACUGGAGCAGAAAUCAUUAACUGCAGCAGCAAGGACACGAGAGAAUCUAAACUAUUUUUGGAGCUUUCUGUUUUUGCAUUUUCUUGGUGUAAUGAAUAAUGACUUGUGAAGUUGAGGUAUUCCUUUACGAGAAUAUGUGUU